UCAUUGUAGAGGUUUAUCAUACCUGCCUGGACAGAAGGAAGGACUGUGAAGAUGGUCUGGGUUUCAGGAGUGAGGCCAGUCUGAAGGACUUGGAUACCUUUGAGCAGCAUGAGUCCGUUUUACCCUUCGCAGAGCAGUGCUGACUGUGUUGAAGGACACGGAGGAUGAUGGCUCUGCUCCUUUAGAAUCUUGGUCUGGAUUUGCCUUGGAAAUUAGCUGGAGAUAUGUCCUUCRUGCUUGACCAUGGCUCAGCGAGCAAGGAUCAGCUGUUGCAACCCCAAGGUUGGGCAUAUUUCAUCUCCUUGUAUGGAUCCCAGAAGAGGAGCUUGUGAGGAAGGAAAACCUGCUU